rnacentral:tRNA from 1 species
CAAGAAAUAGUUUAAUUAAAAUAUAAAUUUUGGAGAUUUAAGUUAAGAAGUUUUCUUUUUCUUGA